rnacentral:rRNA from 1 species
AGAACCCGCCCGGUGGAUGCCUGGGCUCGGGAGCCGAAGAAGGGGGUGGCAAGCGGCCAAAUGCCGCGGGGAGGUGCACGCAACCAUUGAUCCGCGGAUCCCCGAAUGGGAACUCCCGCUGGGGUAAAACCCCAGCACUCCGGGUUUAACCCGGAGGGGGAACGCGGGGAAGUGAAACAUCUCAAUACCCGCAGGAAAAGAAAGCAAAAGCGAUUCCCUGAGUAGGGGCGACCGAAAAGGGAGUAGCCCAAACCAAAUCCCGAGAGUAAUCUCUGGGAGAUGUGGGGUUGAGGACCCGAGAUUUUCCCCAAUUGGGAACCCGAACCCGGUGGAAGUCCGGGGCCGUAGAGGGUGACAGCCCCGUAGGGGUAACCAAUUGGGGAGCACUCGGGUUCCGGAGUACCGGCGGUUGGAUUUCCGUCGGGAAGCUGGGGGUAACCAACCCCCCAAGGCUAAAUACUCCCCGAGCCCGAUAGCGAACCAGUAGGGCGACCGAAAGGUGAAAAGAACCCGUGAUAGGGAGUGAAAAGAGCCUGAAACCGGGCGGGAAUAGUCUGGUGGGGCUGGUUAAGCUACUUACCUGGGAAACCGUUGGCGACACGGAAGUACCAGGUAAGUAGCUAACCGGUUCCACCGUACGUUUCGAAGAACGUGCGGGGGAGUGUGCCUGAGUGGCGAGGCUAAGAGAAAUCCCCGAAGCCGUAGGGAAACCGAGAACCCGCAACCCGGGUUUAUCCCGGGUGAGGGGUCCCGUCCCAAAAGGGCGGAUAGUCACUCAGGCACGACCAGAAACCGGGCGAUCUACCCCGGGGUAGGGUGAAGCGGGGAAUUCCCCGUGGAGGCCCGAAGGGGUGGGGUCUAAACCCCUCUCAUGACCCUGGGGUAGGGGUGAAAAGCCCAUCGAGCCCGGUGAUAGCUGGUUCCCGCCGAAAUUGGCCCCAGCCAAGCCUCGGGGGAGGAUCCCGUCGGUGUAGAGCCACGGAUUCUGGUGGGGUUUACCCACCAGAGUCCAACUCCGAAGCCGACGGGUCCGAAGAAUCCGGGAGACGGGGGAUGCGGGAAAGCCGCAUCUCCGAGACGGGAACAACCGAGAUCGGGGUUAAGGCCCCAAAGUGCCGGUUAAGUGAAAAUGAAGGGCGUCCGUCUCCUAAGACACCGGGGAUGUAGGCUUAGAAGCAGCCAUCAUCUAAGGAGUGCGUAACAGCUCACCCGGCGAGGGGGCGGGCCCCGAAAACGGACGGGUCUAAGCCGGCCGCCGAGACCCCGAGCUGGGGAUCCGAUGGAUCUCCGUGCAGUAGGCGGGCGUCCUGUCGGCCUAGAAGGGGACCCGAAAGGGUCUCUGGAGCCGACAGGAAUGAGAAUCCCCGCGGUAGUAGGAAUCGGACGGGUGAGAAUCCCGUCGGCCGAAAGGGGAAAGGGUUCCCAGGCAAUGAAGAUCAACCUGGGGUUAGUCGGUCCUAACCCGGGCCCUAACUAGGUCCCGGGGAAAGGGAAGGGGGUUAAUAUUCCCCCACCGCCCGGGUUAGGUGCGGCAACGCAAGCCCCUCUCCCGACCCCUCGGGCUAAGCCGACACGGGAUCGGGAUAAAACCCGAUUACCCGUGCCAACCGAGAUAGGACCGGGGAGAGCCGUAAUGGCGAGAACCGGUUUAAAUCGGGAUGGGGUCCCGUAAGGGGCUUCGGCUGAGGCCCGGGGGCCUUGAAAAGGGAGAGGGGAACGAUCCCGGGCGACCGUACCGCAAACCGGUACAGGUCCCCUGGGUGAGAAGCCUAAGGCCGUGGGGGUAACCCGGCCGAGGGAACUCGGCAAAUUAGCCCCGUAACUUCGGAAGAAGGGGUGCCUGCAGUGGUAGGUUAAUCCUGCCACCGCAGGUCACAGUGACAAGGGCGGGCCGACUGUUUACCAAAAACAUUGCCUCCGGCUAGCCCGUAAGGGUUAGUACCGGAGGUGACGCCUGCCCAGUGCCGGUACCUGAACCCCCCGUACAAGGGGGUUAAGGGCCGGUAAACGGCGGGGGUAACUCUGACCCUCUUAAGGUAGCGUAAUGCCUUGCCGGUUAAAUGCCGGCUCUGCGAACGGCGUAACGAGCCCGCCACUGUCCCCGGUCGGGACCCCCUGAACACGUCGUCCUGGUGAGAAGGCCAGGGACCCCCGAUGGGUAACAGAGACCCCGUGAAGCUUAACCGCAGCCUGCCGUUGCCCUGGGGAACCUGGUGUGUAGCGUAGCGGGGAGUUAUGAGCUCCGGCCGCUAGGUCGGAGGGAACGCUAAUGAAACACCCGCCUCCAGGUUCCCUGGGGCUAACCCCGUAAGGGGAACAGCGGCAGGUGGGCGGUUUGGCUGGGGCGGCACCCCGCCGAAAAGAUAUCGGCGGGGCCCAAAGGUCGGCUCAGGCGGGUCAGAACUCCGCCGUAGAGGGUAAGGCCAAAAGCCGGCCUGACUGCGCCCCGAUCAUCAAGGGGUGCAGGGGGGAAACCCGGGCCUAGCGAACCCCGUAUUCCCCUUGGUGAGGGUACGGGCUGGCGGAAAAGCUACUCCGGGGGUAACAGCGCCGUCGCGGGCGAGAGCCCCCAUCGACCCCGCGGUUUGCGACAUCGUUGUCGUCUCUCCCCAUCCUGGCGGUGCAGAAGCCGCCAAGGGUGGGGGUGCUCACCCAUUAAAGGGGAUCGUGAGAUGGGUUCAGAACGCCGCGAGGCAGUUCGGUCGCUAACUGUCGGGGGUGCCGACCGCCUGAGGGGAAGGUCCGCCUAGUACGAAAGGAACGGCGGGCCGCGGCCUCUGGUAUACGGGCUGUCCGACAAGGGCAAGCCCGGUAGCUACGCCGUAGGGGAUAAGCCCUGAAAGCAUCUAAGGGCGAACCCCUCCCCGAAAAUAGGCGGUCGUUAAGGGCUCGGGUAGAAGACCCGGUUGAUGGGGCGGCGGUGUAAGCCCUAAGGGUUUCCGAGGGGUGAGCCGACCGCUCCCAAUCGCCCGUGGGGCU